AAGGUUAAUAUAUUUAUGUGGCAUUACUAUAAAAAUCCGAUAUUUCAGAUACCUUACACAUUUGCAAAAGAUGGCAUCCUUUCGCAAUGGUGAUGAAAUUGUUUGGGUGAAGAUGAUUUAGACAUGGAGCUGUUUGAACGGCUCGACAAAGCUGUAGAUGGAUGUGCACAUGACACGGCUCCUGAAGGUCGUGUCAAUACAACAGAGGUGUGCCCAAAUCUGGCAAAUUUUGGAACUGCUUCCAUAUUAAAAAGAUGGACAGAUGAAGAUAUAUUGUAUUUACUGUAUGUAAAUAAAAUAUAAAAUAGAUUGUAAAUAAAAUAGAUAAAGAAAAGAAAGCAAAUGGUAGAAAAAACUUAGGAUCACUAAAAUCAUUCGUAGAGAAACCAAAAUGGUGGCUUUCAUAUUCUAUGUGAAGAAAAAGAGCGAGCAUUUCUCCAUGAAAGUCCCCUAAAAAAACCAUGAAAUGAAUUUAUUUUUUCAAUGAUGUAAACAAACACUGCACUGAAACCUUGCAAAUGUAAGGCCAGUCCGACCACUGUUGUCAUGGGAACACAUGGGAAUUUUUCUACAAUUCUUGUAACAUUUGGUCCAAUUUUUAGAACAAGUUAUUACAUAAUUAUUAAGUUAUCAAAAUACGAUAAAUUUGACACCAAAAAGCAUAAGUUUUGGCUUUACUUACACAAUUUGUGCAGCAAGCCAAGAAAAGUAGUUUCAGCCGUAGCAAGCCAUUACUCUGUACCUAGCAAACCGUAACGGCCACUAGCAAACAGUUACUGUUCUAAAAUUGGGAAGCAGUGUGCCACACGUGUGUUACAAGUUGGGUUUGUUGUGUAGCAGCAGAUGCUACUAUUUCUUGUCAUGUGUUUUUAAUACUGUUUGAAAUAAAGUCAUUUGUGCUUCA